UUUAGUAUACUGUACCAUAAUUCUUGGAAGUUUCUUAUGGAUUAAUACUUUUAUUUCAGGAAAGCAUUUUGAAACAUUUUUGGGGAGCCCUCCUUUACAGACCUGUCUGCAGCACUGCCUGCAGAAGGGAGGAGUAACAGGCUUCGUGCUGAAAGGGGAAUGAAACUGCAGAACUCAGUACAGGAGAUAGCUCUCAUACUGUAGUUCCUAUGUGGUUGUUUUAUGAUGUCUGCUGCUUGAAGAGCAAAAUUGUGCACUUAAAAAAUGAUAGUUUAUCUGACAUAGGUUGGAUUGAAAUUUGAAUGUCUGCUAGUUUUUCAUAUGAAAUCAUAUUUACUUAAAGCAAUAUUUUUCAGUCUGUAAGAUGCCAGAAGUCAAGUAAUUCAAGGCAGUAUCUGUGGGUCACAAAAAUUGCCGGUUUCAUCCAAGUCAAUACAGUAAUGGAAGGAGAUUUUUUUGUAAUUGAUAACCAUGUAGUUUCUCAAGCCAGAAGCAAGUAAUGAGUAAGAACUAUUUCCACAGUACCAUUGUAUAUAUAUAAAAAAAGAUGUAGUCACGUUAAAAAACAACAACAACAACAACAAAAAACUUAUGAUGUAGAGAAUCAUUCUAUUUUUAAUUGGUAUUGAUAUAUAAAUAUAGCUAUUCUUUUGGAUUAUUAAAAUGCAUACUGAAGAUGAAAAAAGAGUGAGGCUCUUGGAAAAAUUCUUGCUUUUCUAUGUUUGACACUAAAAAUCAUUGUCCAACAACACAUUCCACUUUUUCUCUCUACCACCUUUUCCUAUACUUGCUGCUUCUCCAUUGAGGCACAGGAUGUUCUCAGGAGUUAAGCUGGAGCAGAUGAAUAUGGAUUUUCCAUUCAUUUUACACAAAGAUCAGCCUUAGGCAUGUUGUAAACAAUUAGUGAAUAGAUGAUCUGGUAAUAUAACAAACAAUUUGAUUAAUGUGUCUUGUUUCCAGAGUGUCAUUCAUAAAGUUUGAGAAUAAAAACUUCAAUACAUGGCAAAAUGACAGAAAUGUUUCCUUCAAAUAAUGCUUACAAUGGAAGCUAUGGAAGCUUCUCAGUACUUCAUAAAAUGAAAAGAUAAUAUUAGAGGUUUUUUGGUGGAUGGAUGGGAAAGAAGUGUGGAUUUAGCCCAGAUAUGCCAGGGAUUGCUCCCUACAAUCUUCAGUGAUAAGAAUGAGCUGAAUGCAGUAGGGGGUUGGCCAGGACCAGGAGAACACCACAUAGGAAAACCAUGCUGGUAAAGCCAUGACAUCCCAGGAAAUCCCCGAUGAAAGGCUGCAGCAAUGCAUAGAAGACUGAAGAGCACACGUCGACAUUUUUAACUUGCUCCUGGAUUGAUCAAUCUGUUUCAGCAAAAGAUGUGGUUACAGAGACAGGAGCUUAGUCCAGUUACAGUCAAAUGUUCUGUAUAAGCAUUAUCAUUCAUCUUGUGUUCUAUUGCCAGAAGGAAAAAAAGCAUUUUAUAUCCCUGUGCAACAUACAACCUCAUGUCUCUGCUGUGGUAUUGUGGUUGAGCAGUCCUCAGCUUGAACAGACGCAGUAACUGUCAUCUUUUCUGAUUCAAAAGAAUAUUCAGGAGACAGUGAAUAUCACCCUCAUUUAUACUAUGGGUUGCACAUGUUCACUGAAUGGCAGGCACAAGAAUUGUCUCUCCCUCCAAAUGUGAUGCUACAAACAUAAUAGCUUGCUUCCGAUGUAAGAUUUCUGUAUUAUUAUUAUUGUCAUUAUUAAUAGUAAUAUUUUAUCUAUAGUUAUUUUUUCACUUCUACAUAACUCUGAAAUACAUUAAAUGUUUUUCUUAAGAAAAAUCUGCAUUUAACUAUGGAUGCUCAGAAGAGGUCUUCAAUAUAAAAAUGUUAACAGACGUAUAUUUCAAAUGUCAAGUUAUUACCAUACUUUGGGCAAUACUAAAAAAAGAGUUGCCAUUCUCUGUUCUUUUUGACUGGCAACAUGUACCUUGCUAAUUUGAAGUAUGUAUUUCAUAUAUAUGUCUAUACAUACAUUAAAAGUCCUCAUUUCUGUGUUUGUUGCAAAUCUAGGCAUAUUUUUUUCAUUGUGUUUUCCAUGUUUUUAGUCAGACAUGGUUUUUUGCAAGUCCCAUUCUAGGGCCUGGAUAAAUUCUAAAUGCUUAUAAAAGGAGUUGUAGAGUCCUAAAAAUCUGUCUUGAAAAUAAACAGUUC
ensembl:lncRNA